GAUGAACGCUGGCGGCGUGCUUAACACAUGCCAGUCGAACGGGAAACCUUUUAUUGAAGCUUCGGCAGAUUUAGCUGGUUUCUAGUGGCGGACGGGUGAGUAACGCGUGGGUAACCUGCCUUAUACAGGGGGAUAACAGUCAGAAAUGGCUGCUAAUACCGCAUAAGCGCACAGAGCUGCAUGGCUCAGUGUGAAAAACUCCGGUGGUAUAAGAUGGACCCGCGUUGGAUUAGCUGGUUGGUGGGGUAACUGCCCACCAAGGCGACGAUGCAUAGCCGGCCGGAGGAGGUGAACGGCCAGAUUGGGACUGAGGCACGGCCCAGACUCCGACGGGAGGCAGCAGUGGAGAAUAUUGCACAAUGGGGGAAACCCUGAUGCAGCGACGCCGCGUGAAGGAAGAAGUAUCUCGGUAUGUAAACUUCUAUCAGCAGGGAAGAUAAUGACGGUACCUGACUAAGAAGCCCCGGCUAACUACGUG
rnacentral:rRNA from 1 species